rnacentral:rRNA from 1 species
UACGUAGGGUGCGAGCGUUAAUCGGAAUUCUGGGCGUAAAGCGUGCGCAGGCGGUUAUGUAAGACAGAUGUGAAAUCCCCGGGCUCAACCUGGGAACUGCAUUUGUGACUGCAUAGCUAGAGUACGGGUAGAGGGGGAUGGAAUUCCGCGUGUAGCAGUGAAAUGCGUAGAUAUGCGGAGGAACACCGAUGGCGAAGGCAAUCCCCUGGACCUGUACUGACGCUCAUGCACGAAAGCGUGGGGAGCAAACAGG